AUGCCCAGCCAAAGAGAACAGGGAAGAGCACGCUUGCCAGGGCCACAGGGGAGGCCCAUGUGGGUGACAGGACUGCUGCACACGGGGACGAUGCUGUACACGGGACGAUGCUGUACACGGGGACAAUGCUGUACACGGGACAAUGCUGUACACGGGGACGAUGCUGUACACGGGGACGAUGCUGUACACGGGGACGAUGCUGUACACGGGGGCGAUGCUGUACACGGGACAAUGCUGUACACGGGGACGAUGCUGUACACGGGGAUGAUGCUGCACACGGGGACGAUGCUGUACACGGGACAAUGCUGUACACGGGGACGAUGCUGUACACGGGACAAUGCUGUACACGGGGACAAUGCUGCACACGGGGACAAUGCUGUACACGGAGAUGAUGCUGUACACGGGGACGAUGCUGUACACGGAGAUGAUGCUGUACACGGGACGAUGCUGUACACGGAGAUGAUGCUGUACACGGAGAUGAUGCUGCACACGGGGACGAUGCUGUAUGCAGGGGAGGAUGGGUCCGCUCUACAGGGCUGUGCACGGGGGAUGCAGGCCACUCUGUGUCGUCCAGGCCCGAUGCCAGGAGUGAGCCCCUCGUAACCUUGGACACGGUGUGCCAGGUAGGUUCCCAUGGUAGCAGCGCCCCCUUGGGGGGGAGGGCUGUGCAUGUGUAGGGGAGGGUCCUGCUGGCAGUACUUGUGACUUAGUUUCACUCUGGAACUAAAAGUGCCCUAAAAAGAACGAACAUCCUGGAUGGCUCUAAGAUUCUCAGCCACGUAAAUCCUUCCCACUGGGCACAGCUGUGUGCCCUGGAAACUGAGUGAAUUCUGCUUCGCCACGCACGGCGCCUUCCCUGGGGACUCCUGCUGACCCAGCUGAGGUCCCCGUGCAACACAGGAGGGGGAGCCGGAACAAUGCCCAUGAGACUCACACCACGGCUCUGCGAGCCCGCCCUCCCGGCGUCCCGGCCCUCGGGGACGUAGCUAAACCUCAGCAUCUGAAUCAGCACCUUAGAGAAAUGGAAAACAGCACACGCUUGGGCUCAGGCUGACUGCAGACACGGAACGUUCUCCACUGGGCCACAACGCACCUGUGAGACGUAAGAGCCAAACGCAUGUCAAUGCCGGAGCCACAUCAGCCUCUUUGUGACGAGGGGGUGGGGUGGCACACGUCCUACCCUCCCAGGAGACCCCCUCCUAGGCAAGGCAUCACUUUUCCCCCACAGCUACGGCUGCGAUGGCUUCGAGUGAGCCGCGCCCACGCCCUUCCCAUACAAGGCUGCCACGUGCGCCACGUGACCCCCGGUGACCUUCCCCGGCCUCACCCAAAUGCACUGUGGCAGGGCCGUGAGGCUGCGGGUCCCUGGGGCAGGUGCGGAGAGCCCGCCCAGCUCAGGCACAGGAGGCGCUGUCCCCGCGCAGAGCGACGCACACAGGAGGCAGACGUAGUGAGGGCUGGGGACACCACAGCCCGGCGCCUUGUGAUGCUUUAUUAGCCUACAGCAGGAGACACACGUGUGACCGGCUAGUGCCUGCUCCGAGGGCCACUGUGGGCCUUCGCAGCUGCCCGGGGUGGACGGCGGCUUGGCACACUCAGCCAC
ensembl:lncRNA